CCUGGCGGCCGUAGCGCGGUGGUCCCACCUGACCCCAUGCCGAACUCAGAAGKGAAACGCCGUAGCGCCGAUGGUAGUGUGGGGUCUCCCCAUGCGAGAGUAGGGAACUGCCAGGC
rnacentral:rRNA from 1 species